AACGAACGCUGGCGGCAUGCCUAACACAUGCAAGUCGAACGAGAACUUCGGGUCUAGUGGCGCACGGGUGCGUAACGCGUGGGAACCUGCCCUUAGGUUCGGAAUAACUCCCCGAAGGGGGUGCUAAUACCGGAUAAUGUCUUCGGACCAAAGAUUUAUCGCCUUUGGAUGGGCCCGCGUUGGAUUAGCUAGUUGGUAGGGUAAAAGCCUACCAAGGCGACGAUCCAUAGCUGGUCUGAGAGGAUGAUCAGCCGCACUGGGACUGAGACACGGCCCAGACUCCUACGGGAGGGAGCAGUGGGGAAUAUUGGACAAUGGGCGAAAGCCUGAUCCAGCAAUGCCGCGUGAGUGAUGAAGGCCUUAGGGUUGUAAAGCUCUUUUACCCGGGAUGAUAAUGACAGUACCGGGAGAAUAAGCACCGGCUAACUCCGUG
rnacentral:rRNA from 1 species